rnacentral:rRNA from 1 species
UACGAAGGGGGCUAGCGUUGCUCGGAUUGACUGGGCGUAAAGGGCGCGUAGGCGGUUCGUACAGUCAGACGUGAAAUUCCUGGGCUCAACCUGGGGGCUGCGUUUGAUACUGGGGAUCUCGAGUCCGGAAGAGGUAAGUGGAACUCCGAGUGUAGAGGUGGAAUUCGUAGAUAUUAGGAAGAACACCAGUGGCGAAGGCGGCUCACUGGUCCGGUACUGACGCUGAGGUGCGAAAGCGUGGGGAGCAAACAGG